GCUGCUAUGGCUCAGUCGGCAGAGCACAUCCUUGGUAAGGAUGAGGUCACGCGUUCGAUUCGCGUUAGCAGCUCCA
rnacentral:tRNA from 1 species